rnacentral:tRNA from 1 species
GAAAGGGUCGCUCAGCCUGGCCAGAGCGCCCACCAUCGCGGUGGGUGGCCUGAAAUAGAGCCACGAUGGUUCAAAUCCAUCCCCUUUCG